UCCUACGGGGGGCAGCAGUGGGGGAUAUUGCACAAUGGGGGGAACCCUGAUGCAGCGACGCCGCGUGGGUGAAGAAGUAUUUCGGUAUGUAAAGCCCUAUCGGCAGGGAAGAAUUUAGACGGUACCUGACUAAGAAGCCCCGGCUAACUACGUGCCAGCAGCCGCGGUAAUACGUAGGGGGCAAGCGUUAUCCGGAUUCACUGGGUGUAAAGGGAGCGUAGACGGCGCGUUAAGCCUGGUGUGAAAGCCCGCGGCCCAACCGCGGGACUGCAUUGGGAACUGGGGCGCUGGAGGGCCGGAGGGGG
rnacentral:rRNA from 1 species